UAAGAGUUGCAAACUCCCAACCAUUGUGAACUUACCUUCAACGUUGCUUCGGCGGGUUGGCCCCGGUCUCCGGGGUCCCCGGCCCUACUCGGGCGCCCGCCGGAGGUAUCUAACUCUUGAACUUUUAUGGCCUCUCUGAGUCUUUGUACUUAAUAAGUCAAAACUUUCAACAACGGAUCUCUUGGUUCUGGCAUCGAUGAAGAACGCAGCGAAAUGCGAUAAGUAAUGUGAAUUGCAGAAUUCAGUGAAUCAUCGAAUCUUUGAACGCACAUUGCGCCCGCCAGUAUUCUGGCGGGCAUGCCUGUUCGAGCGUCAUUUCAACCAUCAAGCCCCCGGCUUGUGUUGGGGACCUGCGGCUGCCGCAGGCCCUGAAAACCAGUGGCGGGCUCGCUAGUCACUCCGAGCGUAGUAAUACAUCUCGCUCAGGGCGUGCUGCGGGUUCCGGCCGUUAAAAAGCCUUAUUUACCCAAGGUUGACCUCGGAUCAGGUAGGAAGACCCGCUGAACUUAAGCAUAUCAAUA
rnacentral:rRNA from 1 species